GAUGAAGAACGUAGCGAAAUGCGAUAAGUAAUGUGAAUUGCAGAAUUCAGUGAAUCAUCGAAUCUUUGAACGCACAUUGCGCCCGCCAGUAUUCUGGCGGGCAUGCCUGUCUGAGCGUCAUUUCAACCCUCAUGCCCCUAGGGCGUGGUGUUGGGGAUCGGCCAAAGCCCGCGAGGGACGGCCGGCCCCUAAAUCUAGUGGCGGACCCGUCGUGGCCUCCUCUGCGAAGUAGUGAUAUUCCGCAUCGGAGAGCGAUGAGCCCCUGCCGUUAAACCCCCAACUUUCCAAGGUUGACCUCAGAUCAGGCAGGAAUACCCGCUGAACUUAAGCAUAUCAAUAAGCGGAGGA
rnacentral:misc_RNA from 1 species